rnacentral:rRNA from 1 species
UACGGAGGGUGCAAGCGUUGUCCGGAAUCACUGGGCGUAAAGGGCGCGUAGGCGGCCUGGUAAGUAGGGGGUGAAAUCCUGCGGCUUAACCGCAGGGCUGCCUUCUAAACUGUCAGGCUUGAGCACGGUAGAGGCAGAUGGAAUUCCCGGUGUAGCGGUGGAAUGCGUAGAGAUCGGGAAGAACAUCAGUGGCGAAGGCGGCGAUCUGGGAAGAUACUGACGCUGGGGUGCGAAAGCGUGGGGAGCAAACAGG